UCACUAUACUUCAUUCAUCCACAGCUAGCAAAGUGAGACAUUAAUUCAAAUCAACAUGGCUGCUACCACUAUGAAAGCUUCAUUUCCACUUUUGAUGCUGCUGGGAAUUGUUUUCCUAGCUUCAUUCUGUGUCUCUUCUAGAUCCGAUCAAGAGAAUCCAUUUAUCUUCGAGUCCAAUCAGUUUCAAACCCUUUUUGAGAAUGAAAACGGUCACAUCCGUCUUCUUCAAAAAUUUGACCAACGUUCCAAAAUAUUUGAGAAUCUUCAAAACUACCGUCUCUUGGAAUAUAACUCCAAACCUCACACCAUAUUUCUUCCACAAUACACGGAUGCCGAUUUCAUCCUUGUUGUUCUCAGCGGUAAUUUAUUAUUUAUGAAGGGGAUCAUAUUUAUUACUUUAUAUGUUUGUUUUAUAAUUGAUAAAUUAAAUUAAAUUUUAAAAUCUAAUGUUAAUUGUAAUUUUUCAGGAAAAGCUAUACUUACCGUGUUGAAACCCAACGAUAGAAACUCCUUCAAUAUCGAGCGUGGAGAUACGAUAAAACUUCCAGCUGGCACCAUUGCUUAUUUGGUUAAUCGAGAUGACGACGAAGAUCUUAGAGUAUUAGAUCUCGCCAUUCCCGUAAAUAGACCUGGUCAACUUCAGGUAAUAUAGUCAGUGUUUACUUCUUAUGAUAUCAAAUAUGGUCUACAGUUGUGAUUGUAUUUAUACAUAUUUUUCUUUAAAGCUCUUCUAAUAAUCUUAUUAUCAUUGUUUUUUUUUUCCUUUUCAUCAGUCUUUCUUAUUGUCUGGAAAUCAAAAUCAACAGUCCAUCUUAUCUGGGUUCAGCAAGAAUAUUCUAGAGGCUUCCUUCAAUGUAAGCAUAAAACACAUAAUUUCUUCAUUUUUUAUGUAUUAAUUUGGUUUUCUAAAUGUUAGUAUUCAUGUUGUCAUUCUAAAUAUUGUAAAUAACACAGACCGAUUACGAAGAGAUAGAGAAGAUUCUUUUAGAAGAAAAUGAGAAAGAGACACAACACAGAAGAAGCCUCAGGGAUAAGAGGCAACAGAGUCAAGAAGAUGAUGUAAUAGUCAAAUUAUCAAAGGGACAAAUUGAGGAAUUGAGCAAAAAUGCAAAGUCUAGUUCUAAAAAGAGUGUAUCUUCUGAAUCUAAACCAUUCAACUUGAGAAGUCGCAAUCCUAUCUAUUCCAACAAAUUUGGCAAAUUCUAUGAAAUCACCCCAGAAGAAAAUUCACAACUUCAAGACUUAGAUAUAUUUGUCAAUUCUGUGGAAAUUAAGGAGGUAAGCUAAAAUUAUUUUAUAACACCUGCAACUAUCAAAACUUCACCAUCAUAAUUCACUUGUUCAAAUUAUAAUUCUUCUAAAUGAUUUGGUUUUUGUCCAUUGAACUUAUAAUGUAAAUUUUUUGUUAUUAAGUUGACAUCUCAUAGAUAACAAUAACAUGUUUUAAUUAUCGAACAUAGAGUUAAAAUAUUUAUUUAAUUGUUCUUUGAAAUUAAAUUUUAGGGAUCUCUAUUGUUGCCACACUAUAAUUCAAGGGCUAUAGUAAUAGUAACCGUUAACGAAGGAAGAGGAGAUUUUGAACUUGUGGGUCAAAGAAAUGAGAACCAACAAGGUAAGAGAAAAGAAGAUGACGAGGAAGAGAAAAACGAAGAAGACGAGACAAACAAACAAGUGCAAAAUUAUAAAGCUAAGUUGUCUCCUGGAGAUGUUUUUGUAAUUCCAGCAAGUCAUCCCGUUGCCGUAAAAGCUUCCUCAAAUCUCCAUUUACUUGGAUUUGGUAUCAAUGCUCAAAACAACCAGAGAAACUUUCUUGCAGGUAUAUUAUAUUAUCACUCUGUCUCUUUAUAUAUAUAUAUAUAUAUAUAUAUAUUAAGUAUGUAUUUUAAAAGUAUAUUUCUAUUUAAAUCAUGGUUUAAAUAAUUAUUAAGAUAUGUUUAUUUUGUGGGUGAUUGAAAAUUUGAAGGCAAGGAGGACAAUGUGAUUAGCCAGAUACAACGACCAGUGAAAGAGCUUACAUUUCCUGGAUCAGUUCAAGAGAUUGAUAAACUACUAGAGAAUCAGAAACAAUCAUAUUUUGCAAACGCUCAACCUCAACAGAGAGAGAUAGGAAGCUCUGAAACAGAAAACCGUCUAUCUUCAAUUUUGAAUGCUUUUUAAUGAGUGAACAAAUAUUAUGCAUGUAUGUUAUCAAGAGAUAUAGCUCAUAGUGAGCAUAGAAUAAGAUAAUAAAAUAAUGUUCUCUUGUAACUCUAAUUAUAUUUCUACUUUUCUAUUAUGAAUAAAUAAAUUAAGAGUAUUUUGGUGCUCCUCUUUAACUACUGUAUUUUUUUUGUUAAUAAUGUUUUAUAUUACUAUGAGUAUGAACAAUCUUUUUCCUUAAAAAAGAGUAUGUAUAAUUUAAUCAACUAUAAAUAGUUGAUUAUGCCUUUAGACUAUUACUUUUAGUUAUAAUUUUAUCAUGCAAUUAAAAGUGAGGAUGUAUAUGCUACUAUGAGUUUUUUUAUCAUGGGAAAUAUUUUAAAUCAUGAAGAAAAAUAAUAGAGGAUGGUAAAAAAUCAGAGUUCCUUGAAUUUUUUUUUUGUCAUAUUAGGAACAAAUGACAAAUUUUAUAAUAGUAUGGACAUAAAGUCCCCACCCCAAAUAUAUAACAACUAAUUUAUUAAAAGAGUCAAUAACUAAAAUACAAAUUAAAAUAUUUAAAUAAAUAUGAAUAUGUGAUACCUCAUAUUCAUGAUCUAUAGGAUAUAAUCAGAAUUAAAAAAAAACAUUAUCAAUACUAAAGAAAAUUAUAAUAUUCAAAAUUUUGAAGACUCUAAAGAAAGUUAUAAUAUUCAAUAUUUUUCAUAAUUUUGCAUAUGUUAUGUUUCUUUCAUUUUUCUAGAAGAACAGUGAUAAACUUAUGAAUGAUAGUGCAAAUAAAUAAAAUUCUAGAAAAAUAAAUGAGACACAAGAAUUAUACUACUUCCCCUUAUCAACCAAUGAUAUGUCUAGUCUCUUUAAACCAUGUGAAGAAUUUUCCUAUAUUAGAUCUUUGUACAACAUCACACGGAUGUGACUGCAACUUUCCAUUAGAUGUAUUUUUCAUGAUGCCAAUAUACUUUAGCGUUAAUAUAUAUAUUUGCACUAAGUAUGGAGUUUUGAUAAAGACAAAAUAAUAUCAAGUUCAAGUUCAAGUGUCAAAAAGAAGGAAAAGAUUUAUGAUCAUCAUUUUCAAGAGAUAUCUCAAAAGGAUCAAAUUCGCACCAAGUUAUUGGAUGGAAAUGAUGGAAAUAGACAUUGAUCAUGAAGUUAAAAGGUUGAAACAUAAGCUCCUUGAAAUAUCAUGAUUACAUAAGUCAUUGGAUAUUUAUCUAAGAGGAAUUGAUCUUGUUACAAAUGUAUUCGAUUAAAAUUCAUAAAAUCAUUCAUAUUUCCAUCUCAACUGUUUCUAAGAAUCCAUGCAUAUAUACCUUGCAUGUCAAGUCAUUUGCAAAAGUAUUUUUCAAGUUACACAAUAGCGUAACUGGUUUCACUCUUUUGGUAACCGGUUACAAGUUCAUUUUUUAUGAUAUGUUUAAAAUAUAUUAAAAGUGUAACUGGCUACACAAUUUAUGCCACUGGUUACAUAGUCUGGAACUUUGAAAAUAUUUGAACAUCAAACAGUUGUAGAAUGCAUUCUUUCAUCAACCAUUGUUAUUCUAAACCAAUGCAAACCUUCAUGAAACAUCUACCAACAUGUACAAAUCAUCUAACAUGUUUGAUAGGGUUUAUAUAAGGCAACGAUCAUUCAAAAUUAUGAUUCACCUAUUUCGCUCAAGUUUAAACAACAAUUCAAAUAUGUUUGAGAUUUUUUCUCAAUCCAAAAUCUUCAAACUUUUUUUGCAUAUAUUGUUAUUUCACUGAAAAAUGUUUAUGAGCAGUUUAAGGUUAUUAUAUCGUAAUUGUAAAUUGAAAGAGAAGAUUAAUUUUAUGUAUUGAAAUUUAUUCUAGAACAACUUCAUAUAUUCAUAUUUUAUUGAAGAGUUGUGGCACUUGAUUUUUAAUAGAAAGUUGUGUGCUUUCUAAUUUUUCUAAACAAAAAGUGGCGUGCUUUCUGGUUUAUGUGAGAAUAAUCAUAGUGAUUGAUGAUUUGUGAAAAUGUCCUUUGAAUUGGGUUUAUUCAAAUUCUAUCAUAGGUUUAGUGUGUUAUGUUAGAAGAUUGUAGAAGAGUCUUGGUGUGAGGUUGUACAAAGAUCUAACAUAGUGAAAUCCUUCACGGGGUAUGAAGGGACUAGAUGUGCCUUUGGUUGAUAAGAGGAACUAGUAUAAUUUUUGUGUCUCACUUUUUUCGUUUACACUUUUACUUUCACGAACUAUCAUUCAUAAGUUUAUCAUUGUUCUUCUGGAAAAAUAAGAGAAACGGGACAUCUUCAAUAUAAUAAAAAAUAUUCUUAAAACCUAAUUCACCCCUCUUAGGUUGCACUAUGUACUUAAAAUUAGCAUCCUAGUAGAAAAAUUAAGUUCAAGUAGAAUAAUAGGGGACAAAAAAGGUAUUUAGGAAUUUUAUAUUGUAUAGUUUAAAAUCGAAUCUAUAGUGUGAUUCUAAUUUUGAUAUGUUUUUGUUGCAGCGCAAAAUAUUCGAGACUUACUCGAAAUCAAUGAUGUCACCAUCAAAUUUAUUAAAAUUGGGAAAACAUCGAUAAAAUCCUUUUAUUUUAAAAAAAAUAGUCUUUGAAACCAAAUUUUUGUUAGGGAGUCAAUUAUGCGUAGAAGAUGUACUAGCACCACACGACAUUCGUUUAUGAAAACAAGUAUCUCUAAUUAAUUUUGCAGAAUGAUAGUGUUAACCUUAUUAUAUCGAUUUUCUUCUAAUCAUCAAAUAAGAAAUAUAACAUAUUUACAUGCAAAGGGAAAAUUUUAUUUAUUCAUUAUAGUGUUUGACAAGAUUUGAUUCUUGUUCCUACGUAUCUUACGGUGUAAUGGAGAAUUUAAAGCUACGUAGUUCUUUGGUAGAAAAUUUUUGUGUGUUGAUUGAUUUUAGACUAAAAUAUUUUGAUUUCAUUAAGGCCGAAAGAAAGUGUUGGGUGAGUAAUGAAGUAUGUAACAGUCUAUAAGGGGGUAAAUAGACCUCCUAAUUCAAAACCUUAGUUGAAAUUGUUUGAGCGGCAAGAUAAUUCUUUUGCAUAUAAAAAGAUUAUGCUUAUAGAUUGAAACUUGCACAUAAUGACUUAAUGAGUCAACAAUAUAAAAAUGAAAAAAAAAUCAUAGACUCAACCAAAAUAAACAAACCAAUGUAAUGUAUUGUGUUUAUAUCAAAACUACACAAGAUGUGUAUUUGUACAAUAUCAAUAUGAUGUGGAUUCUAUAAUCAUUGUUUACAAUUUAAUCACCAACAAAAAAAUUCAAUUUUCUGAUUCUAACAAAACCUACACUUUAACAAAUAAGUUACUACAAAAACAAAACCUAACAACAUAGGAUUCUAUGUGUGUGUGUGUGUGAGAGAGAGAGAGAGAGAGAUGUACACCUAGAUUUAUAGUGGUUCAACUAUUAUCCUUACUAAGCUUAAUCCAAUAUUUGAUGGUUGCACAUUGAAAACUUGGUUUUCCAAUAUUAUUUGUGACAAAUUAUACGAGUUUUAAUACAAUCAUAAUAUAUAAAUAAUGCUAAUAAAAACUAUCUGGAUCCCUUGAUUCAUACACAGUAUCCGAACUGAGUUCUUUGCAAAAUCUUCACAAGAAAUCAUGUUGAAUACUCCAGCCAUAAAAAUCAUGCUCAAAAGUCUUUGUUAUGCAGCGAUAUCUCCUCGAUCCUAUGAGUAUCUUAAGCGUUGGUUUCUCCGAAUAUUAAGAAGAACUUCCACAUUGUCUGUAGGCUUCCAUUCAACAUUACUAAGAUGAACAUGGAGAGAAGAAUCUCUUUCUUUUCUUUGGAAUUGUCACCAUACAACUUGUGAACGUCUAAAAUCUCAAAAAAUUCUUCAAAGAAACAUUAAAUCAAAUAACAUAAUCUUCUAAACAACCAUAAAUAUCCAAAUAUGAGAUUUAGAUUCACGUGACAAUGGAAAAAGAGUGAGGUAUAAGGUGAAAGAAAUCGUUUGCAAGUGUUCAAGAAAUAUUCAAAACUAUUUUUGAAAAUGAGAGAACAAGUCAGUUGUGAGUUUUCAAAUAAAUAUUGGAAGUGUGUGUUUUCUAAAAUUUCAAAGGUUUUAAGGGAAAAGGGUAUUUAUAUAAGCUAAAUAUCAAGAACAAAAAUAGAGAAAAAUGAUCUAUAAUUCGAGUCAAAAGUAAGAGGUGUGAUUUUUUUAUUUUACAUUUUAUUGACUAUUUUAAAUGUGUUUUUUUAAUUUUACAUUUUAUUGACUAUUUUGAUUUGAAAUUUAAUAAUUAAUAUUAAUAUUGAAAAUUAAUUCUUCUUUGCAUUUUGGUCUUUUAUCCAAUCCCAUUUUUCUUUCUAUAUUGCAAUUUAAUCCUUGUAUUACUUUGCAAUUAAUUUUGGUUUUUGUUCCUUCAUCUUAUUAAUAGUAUAGUAGUUGGUUUUUGUUCCUUCACCAUAUUUCAUGACAAUAAACAAACCCUUGAUCCAACGUCAAAUGAGAUUUUUUCAAUCAAAACUCAAAAGGCAAUAAGAUACGAUUAGGAUUGCACAUUCCAUGUAGUAGUGCAAUUCAAAUCAACCACCUUUUCACAAAAAACCUAAAAACAACAUCAACUCAUCAAACAUAUUUUUGCGCCUUAGGGCAUCACCCAGAAAAUCCUUUUUCAAGGUAAAAACAACCAACACACAAGUAUUUUUUACCAUGAACUACGAGGCCACGAAUUCCUCCUUGGCGAGCACACUAAUAAAAAACCCAUUUUCACUUUGUAUACCUUUAGAAAGAAAACAUUAAGAUAACAACACACAUUCAAGCGAAGGACAAUAUAGAUGGUUCCCAUCGAGUAUGAUGGAUGUGAGGGGUGUUAAUACCUUCCUAUUACAUAACCGACUUCUGAAUCUGCUCAUGGUUAUGAUGACCAUUAUUUUGGGCUUUUCUCGAUAUUUUCCCUUUCCUUUGGAAUAAAUAAAAUCCGAUGACGACUUUAUAUUUUUCACGUAGCGAUAACUGGCGAAUCUAUUGAGGAUUCUUCCCUAAGCAAUCCAAACCUAGUAUAGGUUGCUUCCUCGCAUGUUUGGGUGUUUAUCUUUUUUAUCUGCCUUAUCUAUUGCCUUUAACUUUGAAUUUUCAGUUGAUAUCUGUUAUGUGGCUCUUAUGAUGUGGUAUUGGAUUGGAUACUACGUUGUUUCCAAUAAACCUUGAGGGAAAGAUUCUCUACCCGAAUCUAGAGUACAAACGUAAGAUAUGACAAUGGUUGAAAAGUACGGGUCCUCGAGAUGUAGUUCUCAUAAGGGUCGGCACGAGAACCUCACUUAGAGUAUAUCCUUUGAAAAUAUUGUCGCCCGACAUGUAGUCUCCAUAAGCUUCGAUGUUUUUAUGAGGAUUAUUAACUCUAAGAGCCUUUAUAGAACCUUUAACCGUUUGGACUACUAAUGCGAUGAUUGCGUAGUAUGGGUCUUCGAGAUGUAGUUCUCAUAGGGGGUCGGUAUGAAAACCUCACUCAGAAUAGAUUCUCUUGAAAGAGUUAACGCCUGACAUGUAGUUGUCGUAAGUGACAAACAUUCUUGAGGAUCCAUGAUGUAGCGGUAAAAAUUUCGAGAUUAAGCUAUUGAUUAACUUAACUCGCAAAGCAAGAGUCACCAUGACGCUUUUAUUGUUUCUAAAGGAAAAGGAAAAAAGUACGAACAAAACCCGAAGAAGUUUUAAAACAAAACUGAUAAAAAGAGAUAAGGGUCUGGGGGUUAGUUAUGCAAAGGGAAGGUAUUAGCAUCCCAAACCUCCAUGGUAUUCCAUGGGAACCUCUUUGAAUAUGUGCCUUUUGGUUUGAAAAUGAGUAUUAUUUGUAAAAGAUUGGAGCGAUGGGAAAAAUAUAUUUUUUAUGAUUUUUGUGUUUGCCAAGACCUUUUGUAGUCUCAUGCCUACGUACCAAAAAGUGCAAUGGAGGAUUAAAACCUUGUAGUUC
rnacentral:lncRNA from 1 species